AGGGAAUCUUCCACAAUGGGCGAAAGCCUGAUGGAGCAACGCCGCGUGAGUGAAGAAGGUUUUCGGAUCGUAAAACUCUGUUGUAAGGGAAGAACAAGUACAGUAGUAACUGGCUGUACCUUGACGGUACCUUAUUAGAAAGCCACGGCUAACUACGUGCCAGCAGCCGC
rnacentral:rRNA from 1 species